rnacentral:rRNA from 1 species
GAUGAACGCUAGCGGGAGGCUUAACACAUGCAAGUCGAGGGGCAGCAUGAUGUAGCAAUACAUUGAUGGCGACCGGCAGACGGGUGAGUAACGCGUAUGUAACCUACCCUGUACAGGGGGAUAACCCGGAGAAAUUCGGACUAAUAUCCCAUAAUAUUAUGAGAGGGCAUCUGAUUAUAAUUAAAGUUCCGGCGGUACGGGAUGGGCAUGCGUAACAUUAGCUAGUUGGUAAGGUAACGGCUUACCAAGGCUUUGAUGUUUAGGGGUCCUGAGAGGGUGGUCCCCCACACUGGUACUGAGACACGGACCAGACUCCUACGGGAGGCAGCAGUGAGGAAUAUUGGUCAAUGGGCGCAAGCCUGAACCAGCCAUCCCGCGUGCAGGAAGACGGCCCUAUGGGUUGUAAACUGCUUUUCCAGGGGACGAAUAGUUUUCUACGUGUAGAGACCUGACGGUACCUUGGGAAUAAGCAUCGGCUAACUCCGUG